GACGAACGCUGGCGGCGUGCUUAACACAUGCAAGUCGAACGGAAAGGCCCUGCUUUUGUGGGGUGCUCGAGUGGCGAACGGGUGAGUAACACGUGAGUAACCUGCCCUUGACUUUGGGAUAACUUCAGGAAACUGGGGCUAAUACCGGAUAGGAGCUCCUGCUGCAUGGUGGGGGUUGGAAAGUUUCGGCGGUUGGGGAUGGACUCGCGGCUUAUCAGCUUGUUGGUGGGGUAGUGGCUUACCAAGGCUUUGACGGGUAGCCGGCCUGAGAGGGUGACCGGCCAAAUUGGGAAUGAGAUACGGCCCAGACUCCUACGGGAGGCAGCAGUGGGGAAUAUUGCACAAUGGGCGGAAGCCUGAUGCAGCAACGCCGCGUGCGGGAUGACGGCCUUCGGGUUGUAAACCGCUUUCGCCUGUGACGAAGCGUGAGUGACGGUAAUGGGUAAAGAAGCACCGGCUAACUACGUG
rnacentral:rRNA from 1 species